rnacentral:rRNA from 1 species
CAACAGGGAUUGCCUCAGUAACGGCGAGUGAAGCGGCAAAAGCUCAAAUUUGAAAUCUAGCACCUUCGGUGUUCGAGUUGUAAUUUGAAGAUGGUAACCUUGGGUUUGGCUCUUGUCUAUGUUCCUUGGAACAGGACGUCAUAGAGGGUGAGAAUCCCGUCUGAUGAGAUGCCCAUUCCUUUGUAAGGUACUAUCGAAGAGUCGAGUUGUUUGGGAAUGCAGCUCUAAGUGGGUGGUAAAUUCCAUCUAAAGCUAAAUAUUGGCGAGAGACCGAUAGCGAACAAGUACAGUGAUGGAAAGAUGAAAAGAACUUUGAAAAGAGAGUGAAAAAGUACGUGAAAUUGUUGAAAGGGAAGGGCAUUAGAUCAGACUUGGUGUUUUACGAUUAUCUUCUCUUCUUGAGUUGUGCACUCGUAUUUCACUGGGCCAGCAUCGAUUCGGAUGGUAAGAUAAUAGCAGUUAAAUGUGGCUCUUCGGAGUGUUAUAGUUUCUGUUGAUAUUGCCUGUCUGGAUCGAGGGCUGCGUCUUUUGACUAGGAUGCUGGCGUAAUGAUCUA